UACGGGGGGAGCAAGCGUUGUUCGGAUUUACUGGGCGUAAAGGGCGCGUAGGCGGCGCAACAAGUCACUUGUGAAAUCUCCGGGCUUAACCCGGAGCGGCCAAGUGAUACUGUCGUGCUAGAGUGCGGAAGGGGCUACUGGAAUUCUCGGUGUAGCGGUGAAAUGCUUAGAUAUCGUCAAGAACACCUAUAGCGAAGGCAGCUUACCAGGCUGUAACUGACGCUGAGGCACGAAAAGUGUGGGGAUCAAACAGG
rnacentral:rRNA from 1 species